UGGGGAAUAUUGCACAAUGGGGGAAACCCUGAUGCAGCGACGCCGCGUGAGCGAAGAAGUAUUUCGGUAUGUAAAGCUCUAUCAGCAGGGAAGAAACUGACGGUACCUGACUAAGAAGCACCGGCUAAAUACGUGCCAGCAGCCGCGGUAAUACGUAUGGUGCAAGCGUUAUCCGGAUUUACUGGGUGUAAAGGGAGCGUAGACGGAUGGGCAAGUCUGAAGUGAAAGCCCGGGGCUCAACCCCGGGACUGCUUUGGAAACUGUUUAUCUAGAGUGCUGGAGAGGUAAGUGGAAUUCCUAGUGUAGCGGUGAAAUGCGUAGAUAUUAGGAGGAACACCAGUGGCGAAGGCGGCUUACUGGACAGUAACUGACGUUGAGGCUCGAAAGCGUGGGGAGCAAACA
rnacentral:rRNA from 1 species